rnacentral:rRNA from 1 species
CCCUAUUUGGCGGUAUUUUAGUCUAUUCAGAGGAACCUGUUCUGUAAUCGAUAAUCCACGAUGGAUCUUACUUAAGUUUGUUUUUCAAUUUGUAUAUCGCCGUUAUCAGAAUAUUUUAUAAGAAUAAUAAUUUUCUAAAAUUUUAAUUAAAUAAUGAUGUCAGGUCAAGGUGCAAUUUAUAUUUAAGUAGAAAUGGGUUACAAUAAAUUAAUUUAUGUGGAUAUAAAAUUGAAAUAUUUUAUUAAAAUUGGAUUUGAUAGUAAAAUUAUAAUGAUUAAUAAUUUGAUUUUAGCUCUAAAAU